rnacentral:lncRNA from 1 species
GUUCGAGUGGCAGCUUGGGGCGUAGCGGGCGUGAACUUCCCAGAGUUUCUCAGAUUGUUAGAUAUUGAAGGUAGUGACUGAAAAAUCAUUGCAGUAAUCCCAGGGAAGGAAAGCUCGAGUCGUUCCACCUGUGUCUUCUGCUCCGGUCCGCAAGAGUUUUGCUGAAUUAAAAGUCACUACUUUAAUUAAAAAGCAGGAUAAACCUGGGUUUGGGAGUCGGAAGGCCUUAGGAGGCUCAAGAGCACCAGUUGAGGAAGUGUGAACAUUUUGACUGGAGUCAAUCUCAACCCAAUCAACUUUCCCUGUGCUGGCCAACCCUUUCAUCACAAGCCAUAUAUAUAGCUGCUGAGCCCUGGAAAUGUAAGCAGUCUGAAGUGAAAGAUGCUGUGAGCACUGCACACAGACUAGUACCCAACCCUUCCCCAAAGAGAGCAAAAUACCUCAUUAAUAGUGAUAGUGCACAUAUUACAGUUAUUUGCUGGCAUAAUUUUUGAUGUGUUGGGUUAAAUAAAGAAACUUUCCUGUCACUCACCUGUUUGGUUUUACUGUUUUUGAACUAGGGCAUCAGAAACGAUGAGGCUACGUGCUUAACUCCCACUGUUUUCUCUCCAGCUCAGCACUCCACAGACAGAAAGUCUGUGGUGAGGAGCAGUGGGUAUCUGUACCACUGCAUCCCAUAUUCCAAA